UUGUUUGGUUGGUUCUCUUCUCACAAUGCAAUUUAAUAUUAUAUGUUGAACAGCUUUUUAUGUUUUCUAUGAAUUGCCUGUUCAAAUUUUACAUCUUCUUUCUAAUGGGCUAUCUAUUAUUGUUUUAUAGGCACUGUUUAUAUAUUAUGGGCUAAAAGAUGACUUGCUAAAGAUGUUUGAAUAUUUUCUGAGUCUGUUCUUUGUCAUUUAAAUUGAUGUGAGUUAUAUUUAUCAUUCAAAAAAAAAAUUCAGUGUCCCUAAGCAUAUAGAUUUUCUGAGCUUUGUGGUUUUAUAUCUUGCUUAGGAAGUUCUUCCUUAAUAAAAGGUAUGCAGCACCCCCAAGCCCCACCCUUAUCCAUGGUUUUGCUUUCCUCAGUUUCAGGCACCCAUAGGCAACCAGUCAACCACAGUCUGGAAGCAGAUAAUCCUCCUUCUGACCUAUCAUCAAAAGGUUAAUAUUAACCUAAUGCUAGGUCGUUCACCUUGCUUCAUCUCAUCACAUGGGAAUUCUAUCAUCUCACAUCAUCACAAUAAGAAGGGAGACACUAGUACUCUGGAGUGCAGCAAAGGGAGAAUGUGAAGAUAGCACCUACAUCUGAAGUCUCUGGAAAGGAUUAAGGGUUGAGAAGACCAAAUUGUAACUUGGUAUUGCCCAGGGCUAGCUGAGUUCUGGAGUUCGUGGUCCAAAGGCUUCCCAAGAGGAAAUGUACUAUCUGAGGAUGGGACUUGGGGCCAUUUCAGGAUGUACAGUGUCCACUGAAGAAGAAAUUGCAAAUUCAUAGCCUGCUUCCAUGUUUUGAGGACACAGAAGAGAAGCAUCAUAGCAAGAUGGACAACAGAGGGUGCCCUCCACUUUGUGCAUAAGAUGCAUUGACUAAUCAUUUCCUGAAUCAUUACUAAGUGAUGCUUCAUAAAAUUCUUGGCAACUGAGUCUUUUAAACUGCAACAGAUGUGAAAUGGUCCAAUUCAAAUCCCCCACCUCUUCCAGGAAGCCAUUCCUGACUGCCUAGCUGGAUGUGGUAUAGCCUCCCUGUGAACCCUCAUACCACCAUACCAGAAUCUCUGUAAGGACCUUCAAGCUUUCUACCUCACAACAUACUUUCUACAUUUCAACUCUCUGAAGGAUUGCUUUCAUAAUGGCGACUCAAAUACAGAUUCCUUAUUCCAAGAUGGUUAUUAAGAAGAUGAACCAUCAAUAAUCCCAUGAAAGAACAUUGGGCCAAAGAGAAUUGUGGACAUCUUAUAAGCGCCUCGGGACUGGAAUGAGGAUUUCUGAUUUCCAGAUCUCCUCCCUAGCACUAAACAACAUGGCUUCAGGGCCAAAAUUGUGAUGCUCAAAAAAGAACUCGGAAAACUAUGCUUAUAAGGAGUAUGAGGCAGAGAGGGUGUAAUUUAUCCUGAGUAUACAGCUGGAAAGCUGAAUCUGAACACAAACAGUACUCCACAGAACUCUUGCUUUGGAACUCAAGCUACCAAAAGAUAAGGAUCUUGACUGAUGACACAAAAAGAAAACCAAGCGCAGAGUUGGUGCCUAGUGAGAAAUGGAUGGAAGGUGAUUCUGUAGAAAUUGCAAGUGCAAGAAAGUAAGAGAGUGUAUUCUCUUCUUUUAAGUCUUCAUUAUUCACCACCCCCCCAUUGGCCAGUGAUUCCUAAAAACCGGUCAUGGGCCAGUGGUGGUUUAAGUCUAAGUUUUCACCAGACUGGGGAGAAAUGAAGAAAAUAAAGACAAUGUGCCAGUACAAUGGAACCAUGGCCCUAUCUCCAUCCACCUUGCCAGAAGGAAACUGCAGUGGGAGAAAACCAAGUUAAUGAGGAGUGAGAGAAGACAUUAAGGACCAGCUGAGUCCCAGAGACAAAGCUGAAAAACCAUCCAAGGAGUUUGCCAGACUGCAACAGCCACAUUUCAGCGGGCAUUACUACCGGACGAAUUCACUUUAAGUGGACAAGUGAGACUGCCGAUGAAGGAACUGAUGGCAGCAGCUGAUACUACAAGCUAAAAGUCAAGUAGCACAUAGUGCCGCUACAGAUACUUUCUUCCUGCAAGCAAAGGGAGAUUUGGCUGGCAAAUGUGAGGAGCAGAACUAAAAUGAAGUAGCUUUAGUUCUUGAAAUCGUUUGUGCUCAAGGAUAAGCUCCACAGACAGUGGAAGCAAGGCAGAGAGGCAACUGGAAAGAGAGAGAUGAAUGAGAGCUGCCGGAAAUGAGAGUUUAGCAGAACAGAAUGUGAAAUCCAAGGACGUUUUCCAAGAGAUGCCUGCCUUCUUAUAUGGUCUACUUCUAUUCCAGAGUGGUGAUAUUCCAAUCCAUGUAUAUUUUAGAGAGGAGGCAAGUAUUAUAUAUUAUUUUUCAUGAGUUAGCUCUUCCCCUAUGCUUGAAGGGUCUGUUUGGUUAGCAGUAAAGUGAUGGAGAAUAUAUUUAUCUUAAUACUCAGACUAUUUGAAGUAGGAAGAGUGUGAUGACAACUCUAGGUCAAUAGCUUUAAAAACAUGCACUCUAAAUGAACAAAAACUUCCCCUGUUGUGAGAGGGGGAUGAAUUUAGUAAAAAGAACAAGGACAUAGAUAACUGUGCUACUCAUCUGAGUACUCAUCUGAAUAGCAAAAGGAGUGCCUGAACUCCCCAAAAGUACUUGAAGCAGAUUUUAUUCCUCACAGGUGUUAUGUGUAUCCUUUGCUUUCUUCCUGGGCCCUCUUUACACCAAGCUUCUAAUUUUGUUUUGUGCCCAAAUUUAGCAACCAUCUCCACUUACUAACCAUAUCAUUAACUUGUUUAUGUUUCAAGCUCUCACCAUAAAAUGUGAAUAGUAUUUACUUCUAUAGGUUGUUGGGAGGAUAAGAUAUGAUAAUGUGCUUAGAAUGUUCUAAUAUACGACCUGUCACAUGUUAAAUACUCAAUAUAGUAUGUUGGGUCCGUCCCUUUCUAUGAUCUUCAUCUCUGUAGACAGAUGAAACCAUGAGUCCAUGCUGAGCAUGAUCAGGAAAUAUAGAUCAUAUCUGACUGUAAGUAAGAAAGUUAAACUAUUCUUGCCAUUUGUGUGUGAGGGUCCAGAGGGAGGAGAGUUACCUAUUAUAUGAGUAAAUGGACUGCUUACAAACAUCUGCUUUGAUAAGUCCAGUGCUUCUCCUAGAAAAUCAAAUCCUGCAUUAAUGGGCUUGCCUUCUUUCUAGGUCACACAGGAAAGUAUAGAAUCUGGCCUGAAAGUUUCUCUAUUCCUUUAAAUCAUUGCAAAUUUCUGCAUUUAUCUUUCAAAGACAAAACAAAGCAUUAAGAGAAGUCAGGCAAGUAGAAAAGAAACUGUACCACAGGAUGCUUUCUGUUCAUUGACGACUGAAUGGAGAUUGAAAUAAAACAGGGAGGUAGACAACUUAGUUAAAUGAUAUGAGUGUGAUUAAUGUUUUAAGCAAUUUCUGACCAAGUCAGAGCAUGUAUUUUUACUAUUUGUUAACAGACCCUAGAGCCCUUGGUCCAGUUAGUUUUGAUAGGCUCCAACCGGAAUCCUUAAAAAUAAACAAAACCUCACUUCCUGAACUAGAAACAAAGGAGUUAGGCAAAUAAUAAGGUAAAGGAGUUAAUCAUUGUUGCUGUGUAUAUUUUAUAUCAAUUUCUAUUUCUGACUAAGCU